CAGCCACCUGGGCUCUCCCCAUUUCCACAACACUACGACCAACAUUGUCAUGAAUGGUUUGCGAAGAAAGUCACGUCACAAAGACCAGCCCACUGAGAGAUUAGUCUCUACCACUAUGAGAUGUAUGCACAAUUGUUCUUUUAGGACUCUGCUCAGCCCACAGAUGUCUCCACAGCUGCUCUCCAUUCCAAAGGGGAAUGUUUUUUUUCCUUGGAAGCAGUCAUGUAAGGUUUUUUGUUGUUUUGUUUUCAUUUUGCUUCAUUUUUAUAUGAAGCAUUGUAAAGAUGUUUUCUCCACUGAGGGGUAAAUGAUCUUACUUGAAAGAUAGCCUUGAAAUUUGCAUCAAGAAAGGUCUAUGCAAUAAAGCACUAUCUGUAUUUCUGUUCAUUUUUAAAUCCUGAUAAAUGUUUUGCAUAUUGGAGACUCAAGAAUUAUAACCACCCAGGAGGUGAAUCUCACGUCUCCUGCUUCCAUAACCGGAGUUGAAAUGCUGAGGCAAGAAAACCUUGAUAUUCAUCAUAAUGUAAGAAAGAUAUUUUCUUUAAGCAACACCUAUAUCCAACAUUCAGCAUUACUUGCUCAAAUUGCAAGUCAUCUUAUAGGAAUUAAGCCUUUUACCCUCAUCUUGUAAGAUUCUGAGCCGACCACGGAGACCCACCAUGAAGUCACAGAAUGAGAGCUAGUCAGAUGCUCUGGAAGCAUUAGAUGCAUGAUAUCCUGAAGAAAAUGUCAUCAGCACCACAUACCUUGCCCAUGGUUCACUUUAACUUGUCAGAGAUAAAAAUCAAUAAAGAUCUCUGAGGUUAGAACCUAAAAGAAUUAGGGUUUACUGGUA